AUUGAACGCUGGCGGCAGGCCUAACACAUGCAAGUCGAGCGGAUGAGGGGAGCUUGCUCCUGGAUUCAGCGGCGGACGGGUGAGUAAUGCCUAGGAAUCUGCCUGGUAGUGGGGGAUAACGUCCGGAAACGGGCGCUAAUACCGCAUACGUCCUGAGGGAGAAAGUGGGGGAUCUUCGGACCUCACGCUAUAAGAUGAGCCUAGGUCGGAUUAGCGAGUUGGUGGGGUAAAGGCCUACCAAGGCGACGAUCCGUAACUGGUCUGAGAGGAUGAUCAGUCACACUGGAACUGAGACACGGUCCAGACUCCUACGGGAGGCAGCAGUGGGGAAUAUUGGACAAUGGGCGAAAGCCUGAUCCAGCCAUGCCGCGUGUGUGAAGAAGGUCUUCGGAUUGUAAAGCACUUUAAGUUGGGAGGAAGGGCAGUAAGUUAAUACCUUGCUGUUUUGACGUUACCAACAGAAUAAGCACCGGCUAACUUCGUG
rnacentral:rRNA from 1 species